CUGAAAGGGAAGAAGGUUCCUUCCACUCGCAUGACGCAGAUUUUCGUUGUCACUGUGAGUGCCUUUGAAGAGUGGAAGAAUUUGAGGAAGUCUUAUUGUGAUUUUGAGAAGAAUAUAGGUCUGGUGACAUCAUUUCUUGAGAACUAUUGUGUAAAGGGCACAAUGAUGUUGUUCUGUGCUGAUGGCAUCAUGAUGUGUUGUGAUGACAAAAAGGCACAGCAGAUACCUCACAAAGACAAUGUAUUCAUUUAAACUGUUAACCACCCACUUCUCCUUGAGUACAGUAUCUAUAACAGGAGUGGCCUUUUCCUAUUUUGUGAACAAAGAUAUCACAUUGGCUGCAAUAACAUUACAGAUACCCACCCUAGGGAAAUGCUAUUGUCAUGUGACCUGGAGUUGGAGAAGCAAAUCAGAGAGGCGUCAAAGAAAGAUGGAGGUGUAAUAACAGAUGACUUCAAUUACCCUCACACAGACUUCAAAUCCACAUGCAGCAUGUCUUCCCAUGUGAGGAGAGCAAUGAUUCCCCUUGGCAUAGCACCAGAAAGGAUGACACCGUAGUGUUUACAUAAGUGGACACCACAGGAGUUCAAGGUGGUAAACAAGAUCCCCUCCGCCGCCGCCCCCACCAUCCCGCUCCAGAUCCUACCCUAACAAAAAUCCUGUGAGACUAACAUGGCUAUUACCCCUCCCAAAGAAGCUGGAAUAUGGUGGGGAAGAAGAAGUUCCACUCCUUGGCUCUUUCAGGAAGUUAUGAACAUGGUUUGAUAUUCACCAGGCCUUUGAUUUGUAGUUUACUGGAGUGGAAACUCUUUUAGAUACUUUUACACUUUGAAAAUAAAAUCUUUUCAUGGGAAACAUU